GCGGACGCCCGAGGAGGCUGGGGCAGCGGGACGGGAGUCAGAACAGACCUGCGAGCCCAAGGUCCUCGACUCAAGGUCCCAUCGCUGUCCUCCAGCACCACCCGCUGGGCUUCAAGCUUCCCCUGCUGGACAACCAGGGACUCAGGCCGCAGUGCAGAGCUGCUGUGUCCUGGGAGGACAGCGUCACAGGAAGGAUCGCAGGAAAUGGGUGGCGACCACUGUGCCUGUUCAGCCCCUGACCUGGCCUUGCAGAGAUCGUGGGCCCCGUAGACAGGCGGUGUCACGAGUACAGCAGACUACUGAGGCCAGUGGCAGCCAGGCCACAGCACUCGGCGCCAUCCGAGAUGCCGAGGACAUGUUGGAAGAUGCUUCUCCACACAGAGUCCCCUCUGCUCACUUGAGGAGUUGACAGGUGAAUGACUCCUCAGCUCCAGAGCACUCGCUCUUCUUCAGGGACAACUCAGAAAAAAGCAGUCCCGUUAGAACCCACCUUACAGCAUGGAGUGCCAGGAGGCCUUUGUGUGGACAGUUGUUGACAUUUCCAGUGGAAUCCAGGACCACAGCUCAGAUCUCAAACAACACAACACGCAAAAACCAUGACAAACAAGAUGAAGUCUUUCUACGAUAACUUAGAGGACACAGAGGUAUCACCUCCACUGUCAUCCCACCACCAUCACUGCCACCAGGUUACCUCCACCUUCCCACGCAUGCAUCGUCAACAUCACCUCCUCCUCCUCCACCGUCAUGCGGGUCCAUCACCGUGCCACUGCCAUCCGCCACUACAGCCCCAUCACCAGCUCUCUUGCCCUGCGAAGCACUUCUGUUUCUCUGUAACAAGUCAUCUCAUGUGUCGUGGCUUGAAUCAACCACCCUUUCAUCUGCUCUUUUCAAGUGUGUGGAUAUCGGGCUGGCUCAGUGGGCCAGUCCUCUGCUAACUGCCCCAGCCUCAUUAUGUGGCAGCCAUCAGCUGCUGGAGGGGCAGGGUGACCUAAGAAGGUGGAACUUAUGGGUGUUGUGGAGCAGGCUGCUUGCCAGGCACUGUGGCUGUCCUUCAUGUGACCUCUCUGGAAGGCUAACUGGGACAUUGAGCUGGCAUCAGUCUUCCAGGAGAGUGAGGACUAAAGCUGCUGAGAGUUUUGACAUCUGGG
rnacentral:lncRNA from 1 species